rnacentral:tRNA from 2 species
GGAUCAGUGGUGUAGAAGGUCUGCACGUUUGUCUGAAAAACAAGAGGUAAUCGUUCGAUUCGAUUCUGAUCCG